CCUACGGGAGGCAGCAGUGGGGAAUAUUGCACAAUGGGCGCAAGCCUGAUGCAGCGACGCCGCGUGAGGGAUGACGGCCUUCGGGUUGUAAACCUCUUUCAGUAGGGAAGAAGCGAAAGUGACGGUACCUGCAGAAGAAGCGCCGGCUAACUACGUGCCAGCAGCCGCGGUAAUACGUAGGGCGCAAGCGUUAUCCGGAAUUAUUGGGCGUAAAGAGCUCGUAGGCGGUUUGUCGCGUCUGCCGUGAAAGUCCGGGGCUCAACUCCGGAUCUGCGGUGGGUACGGGCAGACUAGAGUGAUGUAGGGGAGACUGGAAUUCCUGGUGUAGCGGUGAAAUGCGCAGAUAUCAGGAGGAACACCGAUGGCGAAGGCAGGUCUCUGGGCAUUAACUGACGCUGAGGAGCGAAAGCAUGGGGAGCGAACAGGAUUAGAUACCCUGGUAGUCCAUGCCGUAAACGUUGGGCACUAGGUGUGGGGGACAUUCCACGUUUUCCGCGCCGUAGCUAACGCAUUAAGUGCCCCGCCUGGGGAGUCGGCCGCAAGGCUAAACUCAAAGGAUUGACGGCUGNGAGNGCGACGACGACGACGAGGGAGGAGG
rnacentral:rRNA from 1 species